GAGAGAGAGAGAGAGAGCGAGAGAGAGAGAGAGGUGUACAUAAAAAGGGAGACAAUCGGACGUGGGAACAAAGCGGGAGGCAUAAUUUAUCACGCGCGACGACUGCUUCCCACGGGAGGCGGGCCGGCGGAAAAAGCUGCAUGUGAUAACAGCAGAAUUAGAGUCGCGGUGAUUAAGCGGCGUCGCGUCGCGCCGCGCCGCGAGUCGAGUCGAGUUGAGCAGAGCGGAGCGGAGCGGAGCGGAGCGGAGCCGCGGAGCUCGGCACGCAAAACACGAACGUAAGAAUGUGAUAACAAGGAGCAGCGGAGAGGAUGUGCGCUUUUGUCCGUCGCCGGAGUCGUGAAAGGGGAAGAAGAGGGAAAAAAAGGAAAGAAGAGCAAGCGAGAGUCGAGAAACGCGGGAGGGCGUCAGGUUGAUUAGCAUUACUCGUCGGGCACAACGGCCGCGCGCUCGACUUCUCAAGUCUCGGUAAGAAAGCGCGCGCACGCGCGUGAGAGCGAUAUAUUUGAAGGAGGCGAUGAGAACAAGAACGACGACGACGACGACGACGACGACGACGAGGACGCGAAAGGACGCGAGGAGAUGUCCUCCCAUUUUCAUUUCUUACGACGCCGACGAGCAGCAGCGAGGUAAUCUAUUCGCCGAGACGCUGUAAUUUUACAUUGUACGCUGUAACGCUGUCCGCGUAACGCUGUUUACACACGAGAGAGGCGCGUCCUACUCGGGCGCUUACAGCGCCGGAGGGAUGUUAUUCACAUUUGUCUAUUAAGAGCGUGUCACCCCCCAUUGUUUAUUACCACGCGCGGCCAUAACGCGCUCGCUCGCUCGUUCUCGCGCCGUGCGCUGAAGCGUGCUGGGCAAUUGUUGGAAAUUCGAGCGAACCUCGCGCGCGUUGUUCAUCGUUAAGCCCGCGUAUCGGGUCACGCAUUGGAAAUUAAGAUUGCAUUGCGAUGUGGCGCGAGCUACUGGUAAUCGGGAUUUUCCGGCUAACAAGGGAUGAAGCCAGCGGCGGCGCCCGCCCGCCGCCCUCUCGCACCGCCAUUGGCCGUGUUGUCAUCGUGGCCGUGAGAUCGUUCGACGCGCAAUCGCGAUACGAUCUCAAUUUCCAAUCCGCAAUGGCGCUAUUAAUCAUUUAAGACGCCGCAGCGCAGGCGUUACUACCACGCG